rnacentral:rRNA from 1 species
CUGGGUUUAAAGUGCGCGUAGGCGGUUUGCACAGUCAGGCGUGAAAUUCCUGGGCUUAACCUGGGGGCUGCGUUUGAUACGUGCGGACUUGAGGGUGGAAGAGGCUCGUGGAAUUCCCAGUGUAGAGGUGAAAUUCGUAGAUAUUGGGAAGAACACCGGUGGCGAAGGCGGCGAGCUGGUCCAUUACUGACGCUGAGGCGCGAAAGCGUGGGGAGCAAACAGGAUUAGAUACCCCGGUA